UGAGUGAAGAAGGCUUUCGGGUCGUAAAACUCUGUUGUUGGAGAAGAAUGGUCGGCAGAGUAACUGUUGUCGGCGUGACGGUAUCCAACCAGAAAGCCACGGCUAACUACGUGCCAGCAGCCGCGGUAAUACGUAGGUGGCAAGCGUUAUCCGGAUUUAUUGGGCGUAAAGCGAGCGCAGGCGGUUUUUUAAGUCUGAUGUGAAAGCCCUCGGCUUAACCGAGGAAGUGCAUCGGAAACUGGGAAACUUGAGUGCAGAAGAGACAGUGGAACUCCAUGUGUAGCGGUGAAAUGCGUAGGAUAUAUGGAAGAACACCAGUGACGAAGGCGGCUGUCUGGUCUGUAACUGACGCUGAGGCUCGAAAGCAUGGGUAGCGAACAGGAUUAGAUACCCUGGUAGUCCAUGCCGUAAACGAUGAAUGCUAGGUGUUGGAGGGUUUCCGCCCUUCAGUGCCGCAGCUAACGCAUUAAGCAUUCCGCCUGGGGAGUACGACCGCAAGGUUGAAACUCAAAGGAAUUGACGGGGGCCCGCACAAGCCGGUGGAGCAUGUGGUUUAAUUC
rnacentral:rRNA from 2 species